UAAAAGGUCAGCUCUAAUCUGCCUUUACUUAUCAGGAUUUAUUCUUUCAGCUUCUCACAAUGAAGUUUCCUGCUCAGCUCCUGGGGCUGUUAAUGCUCUGGAUCCCUGCAUCCAGCGGGGAUAUUGUGAUGACCCAGACUCCACUCUCCCUGCCCAUCACACUUGGAGAGCCGGCCACCAUCUCCUGCAAGUCCAGUGAGAGCCUCGUAGAUAGUGAUGGAUACACCUAUUUGUACUGGUACCAGCAGAAGCCGGGCCAUCCUCCACGGCUCCUGAUCUAUGAGGUUUCUAACCGGUACUCUGGGGUCCCAGACAGGUUCAGUGGCAGUGGGUCAGGGACAGAUUUCACUCUGAAAAUCAGCAAAGUGGAAGCUGAGGAUGUCGCAGUUUAUUACUGCAUGCAAGCUACAAAAGAUCCACCCACAGUGGUACAACCUUGCACAAAAACUUCUCUGCUUGGGGUGGCCCAGCUGCCCAAAUGUGUGGCCUGUGUGGGGAGCAGCACAGCAGAUUCUCUGCAUCUGCUAAGAGGAAGAUGUCGGAGACCUCAGGGGAAUGGGUUGCAGCUGAGGACUCUGGACCAUGAGAGCAUCUGCUACACCUCAGACACUGCCUGUUUGUGGCCGGUCAGCUGCACCAGUCUUGACAUGGCAGAGCCAGCAGGGAGGAUGAAGGAGGUCUGAGUGCCCCUGAGCAAGUAGACCUGAUGCAAGGAGAGCUGACUGAGAGCUCCUCCUAAUCCUCCUGCCUGUGUACAUUUGUCAGUUAAAUUUAGUCAGCAUGACAGGCAGACAAUUGACACCAACGUGGCAACACAAGUUGAGAACAUGUGGAGGUUUACCAGGCUUCUUUGUAUAUUUCAUCAGGAUAAUAUUGGUGAUAUUUAGAAAUUAGUAUUGUCCCACUCUCACAACCCCAUGCUUCUCAUUUUACCACUUAUGCUUCCCCUUGAAUUAAGAUAGUUGAAAUAUCAUUCUAUAUUAGCUGUCCCCAGGGGGAGUGUGGCUGAGAAGAAUUUGCAAAGAUGUUGGUUUUGAGUCUCCAAAUGGCCUUUUGUAAAUUUAUUACAAACACAAGAUCCUAAUUCCACAAGUCUUUGAAUUUCCGCAAAUACUUCUUGUUCAGAAAAAUAAGGAGUUUUUGGUAUUUCAAAAGAUGAGUUUUAAAAAUAAACAGCAUAAACUGGAAUAGAAGAAAAAAGAAUAAUGUGCCUUAUGCUUUCCAUUUUUUUUUAAUAACUACAUAUUUAUCUUUACCUGUGCUCUUUGGUUUUUCCUGUGGAUUGAGAUUGUUGGUGACAGUUCAUCAGCGGAGGUUACAUGACCUGCAGCUCUUCUGGUGGAGCGCUCUGAGGAAGUGCAGGACAGUUAUGUGGCUGACCCUGAUCCUCUUGGUUAAACUGAGUGUGAUACAGGCGAAGAACAUGCUAACAUAAAGGUUUAAAAAGUAUAUACAGGCAGUCCUCAGAUUAUGACAAGUUCCUUUCCUAAGUCUGACUCUAAGUCAAAUUUGUACAGAAGUUGUAACAGGUUAUUUGUCUACCAACAAACCUUUUUGACAUAGUCCUUGUUGUUAGGUAUCAUUGAGUCUGUUCCAACUGACCAUAAAGACCCUAUGUACACAGAAACACUGCCCAGUCUUGUGUCAUCCUCACAAUCGUUGCUGUCGAAACACAUCCUUGCAGACUCUGGGUCAGUCUGUCUCAUUGAGGGUCUUCCUCUUUUUCAUUGACCCUCUUCUCUACCAAGCUGUCUUACUUAUCUAAUGCUGCUAGAACAGAAAUACCACAAGUGGAUAGUUUAACAAAGAGAAAUUAAUUCUCUCACAGUCUAGUAGGCUUGAAGUCCAAAUUCGGGGUGUCAGUUCCAGGGGAAGGCUUUUGCUCUCUGUUUGUUCUGGAGGAAGGUGCUUGUCAUCAAUCUUCCUUUGGUCUAGGAGCGGAGCUUCUCAGACCAGGAACCUCGGGUUCCUGGCUGCUGCUGCCAAGAAUGCUCCCCAAGGUGGGCAGGGAAGUUACUUUUAAGGGGUUUACAAGUAGGGAGUUCAUACAAGUUACUUCUGCAACAUUCUUAACCAUACUACACAGGUGCAAUGGCAUUCACAUAUAACCUCCCGGCAAAAGCAGGAUUCAGAUGCAAAGCUGUGGGGAGGACGCCCAACACAGUAAACAAGAUUUGUAACACACCACUUGGGGGAGGGAGCCAAGCAAAGAAAACAUGAUUUUUAAUACAUCACUGUGGGGGCUCUGUCUCAGAAUACAGGACACCUGACAAUAGGAAUAAAUCAGGACAGUAGUAUAUUACCUUAGCUCUCAGAUUUUUCCCCAAAUUCAACUGUUAAUUAUGACCAACUUUUUUUUACCAAAUCAGGAGGGAAUGUAAGCCUUUCCGCAGCAAGUCAUUUUCAACAAUAAGAAGGCUUCUACUUCAGGGCCCUUGCUAUCCAGUUCUAAAUUGAAAUUAACAAGGUAAACUUCAGCACUGUGUGAGGAUAUUAUAAGGAUCUAAUAAACAGAGUUGAGAAAAUUCUCACAUACUGAUUCAUAAUGAUAAACUAGCUAGGUUAAACAUAUCCCCUAAGAUUGCCUGGUAGCAGUGACACCCUAAUAAAGAUGUACACGCCUAACGUCCCAACAACAUGGCUUUUAAGUACCUUUCUCCAGUAAAAGGAACAACGGUUUCUCAGAGGAAUAGGCAUUUCCAGGACUGGGUGGUGGCAGGGGGGUAGGGAGAAAGUACUACAUAAGCUUUGUACAUUGUGUGGUGAAAAUUAAGGGAAAGCUCAAAAGUGAUGGAAUGAUUCAAAUGACACAGAAGAGGCUCUCACUGGCCCAAUCUGGGACAAUAUGAGGAUGAAAAUAAAUUAUGAUGAUAAUGAAUUAUAAUUCUUUGAAAGAAGUGAGAAUCUGUAUCCACAAUGAUGUGCAUAAAUGAAUGAAUGAAUUGAAAGUUUUAUAAGAAAUGAAAUAUUUACAUGAUUAUAAAAUAACUGCCCACAAAAUACUAGUAUAUUAUAUAGAGAAAAAGAGUAACGUUCACAGUGGGGAACCCUGGAACACCCUGCCUUAAUCAAGUGAUCAAAGUGCCUUCCACUUCGCUAAGCAUUUACUUUCUUAUUUGCCUUCAGUACAGCUUGGACUUCUUCCCUCAGCACGAUUGCUUCCUGAUCAUAUGCUACCUCCUGAAAUGGUUGAACGUUGACCAAUUCUUUUUUGUAUGAUGACUCUGUGUAUUCCUUCCAUAUUCUUUUGAUGCUUUCUGUGUCUUUUAAUAUUUUCCCCACAGAAUAUUUCACUAUUUCAACUCGAGGCUUGAAUUUUUUCUUCAGUUCUUUGAACUUGAGAAAUGCCUAGCAUGUUCUUUCCUUUUGGUUUUCUAUCUCUAUCUUUUCACACAUGUCCUUAUAAUAUUUCACUGUUUCUUCUUGGGCUGCCUUUGGAACCUUCUGUUCAGUUCUUUUACUUCAUCAUUUCUUCCUUUUGGAAAUUGCAGAGUCUCUUCUGACAUCCAUUUAGGUCUUUUCUUUCUUUCCUGUCCGUUUAAUGACCUGUUGCUUUCUUCAUGUAUGAUGUCCUUGAUGUCAUUCCACAACUCAUCUGGUCUUUGGUCAUUAGUGUUCAAUGUGUCAGAUCUAUUCUUGAGAUGGUCUCUAGAUUCAGAUGAGAUAUACUCAAGGUCGUACUUUGGCUCUUGUGGACUUGUUCUAAUUUUCUUCACUUUCAACUUGAACUUGCAUAUGAGCAAUUGAUGGUAUGUUCCACAUGUAGCCCCUGGCCUUGUUCUGACUGAUGAUGUUGAGCUUUUCUGUAGUCUCUUUCCACAGAUGUAGCUGAUUUGAUUCCUAUGUAUUCCAUCUGGUGAGGUCCAUGUUGGUGAAAAAAGGUAUUUGCAAUGAAGAAGUCGUUGAUCUUUCAAAAUCUGAUCAUGUGAUCUCCAGCAUCAUUUCUAUCCCCAAGGCCCUGUUUUCCAACUACCUGUCCUUCUUCUUUGCUUCCUACUUUUGCAUUCCAAUCACCAGUAAUUAUCAAUGAAUCCUGAUUGCUUGUUUGAUCAAUUUCAGACUGCAGAAGGUGGUAAAAACCUUCAAUUUCUUCAACUUUGACCUUAGUGAUUGGUGUGUAAAUUUGAAUAAUAGUCAUAUUAAGUGGUUUUCCUUGUGGGUAUAUGGAUAUUAUCCUAUCACUGACAGCAGUAUACUUCAGGAUAGAUCUUGAAAUGUUCUUUUUAAUGAUGAAUGCAAUGCCAUUUCUCUUCAAGUUGUCUUUUCCGGCAUAGUAGACCAUAUGAUUGUCUGAUUCAGUAUGGCCAAUACCAGUCCAUUUCAGCUCACUAAUGCCUAGGAUAUCGAUGUUUAUGUAUUCCAUUUCAUUUCUGAGAAUUUCCAAUUUUCUUAGAUUCUUAACUUUGUACAUUCCAUGCCCUAGUUAUUAGUGGGUGUUUGUAGCUGUUUCUUCUCAUUUUGGGUCCUGCCACAUCAGCAAAUGAAGGUCCCAAAAGCUUGAUUCCAUCCAUGUCAUUAAGGUUGACUCUACUUUGAGGAGGCAGCUCUUCCCCAGUUGUCUUUUGAGUGCCUUCCAACCUGGGGGGCUCAUCUUCCGGCACCAUAUCAGACAAUGUUCUGCUGCUAUUCAUAAGGUUUUCACUGGCUAAUGCUUCUCAGAAGCAGACUACCGGGUCUUUCUUCCUGGUCUGUCUUAGUCUGAAAUCUCAGCUGAAACCUGUCCUCAUGGGUGACCCUGCUGGUAUCUGAAGCAGGUGGCAGAGCCUCCAGCAUCCCAGCAACAGCAACAUACCCCCACAGGAUGACAAACUGACAGACUCCUGAGGGAAAAGUAGCUUUGCUAAGUAAUAAAGGUCAUUUUGCCUUGGGCAUUGUAGUGUUUUGAAGAUUUAUCUACGUGCAGUCAGUUUCAAGACACAGGAACUCCAGGGAUGAACUGAAAGCUGUGAUUUAGAGUAAAUUAUUACUGUGUUCCCGAGCUCUUUUCCAUGGCAAUGUGGAUAAGAAUCUUGGGGUAUAAGAAUGUUGGGAGGUUCUUUUCUCUCUUCAAUACUUUGAAUCUCUAGUCAGAAGUGUUGCCUGAUUUGCAAAUUGUAUGUUAAAUAAACUUGAAAUCAAUUAAUAUUAUUGUCUUAAUAUGAUUUUUUUUUUUUAACACUUCUCCCAGGGCCCAACUGAAGAUUAUUCUUACACUAUAUGAAUUCUUAUUUCCAUACAGGGUACAGCAAAACAUUCCAUCUCUCUGUGCAGGUUAAGAAUCAAAUUAUUAAUGAGGAAUGCUGAAUUUUCAAGGUGAAGACUAAAAUUGCUUUAUUAAGUUUCAUAAAGAAAGAACACAUCAAAAACACCCCAAAAUUCAAAAGAUAAAAAUGAAAGAAAAGGGGGAUGAGAGUAAAAACAUUAACAAAUGAAAUAGGGACCAGUAAUAUUCUCCUCCCACAGUUUGUCACCAGCAUCCAGGUUCUUGGAUGGCAGCUCAAUGAUCAAACUUAACAUUUCUGUUCAAUAUCUCAUUUUACCAAAUAUCAUAUUCUUGUCAUAGAGUAACAACCUGAACUUUGAUUAAAACAAAAUUGAGAGGUUAAUUAAAACAGGUCUAGCUGGGAAGAGACUCAAUUCCACAGAGUAAAAACAAGUACUUCAAAAUGACAGAUCUACAGAGACAUUUUAUUAGAGGAGAAGAACGAACUAGAAGUAUAUAGCUUGACUGAUACUUAGAAACUUACGUCAUUGCAAGGCGGGAAGUACACGGCUUGAUUCGUAGUUUCAAACUUACGCCAUCACAAGGUGGGACUUCCUGUAGUGGGAGCUCAUAAGGCAGGACUUCUUAUAGCUGGGUAGUCACCAGAUAAAAAAUAGUUAGGGCAU